GCAGUUAUUGGGUAUUAAAACCUAAUAGCGAAAUUAACAUAACUUUAUAAUGGGAUUAGUUUUUAGAUUUUUAAUCUAUUAAUUCAAUCCCGGGGCGUUCUAUAUAGUUAUGUAUAAUAAUAUUUAUAUUAUUUAUACCUCUAACUAGAGCGUACCUUGAGCAUAUAUGCUGUGACCCGAAAGAUGGUGAACUAUACUUGAUCAGGUUGAAGUCAGGGGAAACCCUGAUGGAAGACCGAAACAGUUCUGACGUGCAAAUCGAUUGUCAGAAUUGAGUAUAGGGGCGAAAGACCAAUCGAACCAUCUAGUAGCUGGUUCCCUCCGAAGUUUCCCUCAGGAUAGCUGGUGCAUUUAAAUAUUAUGUAAAAUAAUCUUAUCUGGUAAAGCGAAUGAUUAGAGGCCUUAGGGUCGAAACGACCUUAACCUAUUCUCAAACUUUAAAUGGGUAAGAACCUCACCUUUCUUGGUAUGAAGGUUGUGGUUGUGAUAUAAUGUGCCCAGUGGGCCACUUUUGGUAAGCAGAACUGGCGCUGUGGGAUGAACCAAACGUAAUGUUACGGUGCCCAAAUUAACAACUCAUGCAGAUACCAUGAAAGGCGUUGGUUGCUUAAAACAGCA
rnacentral:rRNA from 1 species